ACUUACUCUCUCUCCUGUUAAAUAGCUGUUAUAGCAGUCGCCAUGGAACCACUCACUGCCUUAAUACAGUUGACCAUAGAAGGUUAAGUCAGGAGACUCAUCCAGUCAAAACGAACGGGCCACAAUCAGGGCCGCUCCGCGAAAAGCUCCCGACCCCCCCACCCCACUUCCCCCCGACAGGGCUGAUUCUGCAGCACGUUGCAUUGCUCUUUCACUGGUGAACCGCAUUUGGCCUUGUUUUGGGCUCAAACACAAACAUCCAGUGUGAUGUCUUACUGCGCAUUGACGAGAUGUUCUUUUCUUAUUUUAUCUUUGAAUAGUUCGAGUCAGCCGGCGCGCGUUUGUGCGUCGUCUAACAUAAGCACAGUGUGUUUGCUCACAAAGCCACAGCUGAUAUUUCACUCCGGGGGGUGGGGGCCCCCCCCCCCCCACUUCCGUUUUUGGGACUUUAUUCCUUCUUUGAACACUUGCCGAAGGGGGGUGGGCUUGGGGGGGGGGGGGGGGGGGCGCAUAGCGGACACUGGUCUAGUCUGUUAAAAAAAAAAAGAAAAAAAAAGAAAGAAAAAAAAACACAAAUUACAAUGAGAAUUGGUCACUUUUUCUCUCUCAGGGUUCAAAUGCACACAUAUCCUCCAUCAGUUACCCUCUGUCUCGUGUCCCUUCUAAUAAGCCCCCCCCCCAAUAUGUAGAACAGCCUCCUGUGUUUUUAGAAACCGCUCUCCCCUCGUUCCCCCUUUGUGCACCGGUCUGAACUUAUUUUUCUGUUUUGCUUUCUUUUGGCACUGACAUCUAACCAACUAACAUGGAAUGAAUGAAUGAAUGUUUGCAAGUGACUGUGUGAUGUUAAAAUUGGGAAAUGUAUUUUUACAACAUGUGAACAUUUUUUUUUCUCCACUCUGUGUGAAUUGUUAUUUGUUUUUUUUUGUUCUUUCACCAGACUGCAAAAAAAACAACACAUUCUCAUGUAACUAGGCUCUUAAGCUUUAUUUUUGUUUUGUUUACUUUUUUUUAUUAGAAACAAUCAUGUUUGUGAUGGUAACUUCCGAUGGUAAACUCCACACCGUAUUUUAAUAAAAUCUUAAAAAUUAAACCUUUGUUCUUGUGGUUACCUUUCAAAGUGACAGAAUCUUUUCCGCUGGUCCCUAAA
ensembl:lncRNA